rnacentral:lncRNA from 1 species
ACGUCCUUGUGGCCUUGGUAUACCGGCGGGAUGAGCGUCGGGAACGUGAUCUGCUGCGCACGAUAGGUCGCGUAGAUGUUGAGCCUGUCGUAGUAGAUGCCAAUCUUGUCGUUAGGGUUUCGGGAGGAGAUGGUGACCUGGAAGCUGGAGGAGAAGACGUUGGAGGCGGAGGUGUUGAAGUUGAAGACGGUGACGUCUUGGAGGACGAAGCGGGGCUUGGAGGGCUGGAGGAUGGCCCACACGAUGAGGAUUGUGACAAGGAGGAUGAAGUUGAAGAUUAGGAGGCCAGCGCAACAGCGGCGGAACAUCCUCCGCCGCUUGUUUUGGCGAUGCAGUCCACAAUCCUUCGUUGACAUGGCGGUUGGUGUGGCAGAGAAAGUAGAGAAGAUGGUUGAGUUGAGUUUGUAGUCUCUGUCUCUC